rnacentral:misc_RNA from 1 species
CGACCACGGUAGGGUCAGCGACUGGGGUGAAGUCGUAACAAGGUAGCCGUAGGGGAACUGCGGCUGGAUCACCUCCUUUCUAAGGAAGAUCGACUUUUUAAGUGGUCUGGAUAGCUUAUCCAAAAAGUCUUCAACUUUUUGGGCAUCCAGACGAGCUUCGGCGCACUUCAAGUCCAUCUUAUUAGAACAUAGGUUGGAAGCCAGUCAGCUUCACAACCGACUUGCAGGCGUGCCGCUUUCGUUUCUCUUUCUUCAUUGGAUGAUCUUUUUAUCGCUCACGGGCCGUAUCGCAGCUGACGCUGCUGGCCCUGCGCGAGCGCGGCCCAUCAGGGCCGACGGACUAGCGUCCUGUAUUGGCGCCGACCGGUUGAGGUUGGCGAAAGUAUAAGGGCUUGUAGCUCAGUUGGUUAGAGCACACGCUUGAUAAGCGUGGGGUCGGAGGUUCAAGUCCUCCCAGGCCCACCAAGUUACUUGAUGAGGGGCCGUAGCUCAGCUGGGAGAGCACCUGCUUUGCAAGCAGGGGGUCGUCGGUUCGAUCCCGUCCGGCUCCACCAUCAAGUUUGGUGUCGAGUGGACGUUUAGAGAUUAUCCAAGAGAAAGAAACAAGUUUGCGGACUUUUACGAAAGUCUGCCUGUUCUGUAUGAAAUCGUGAAGAGAAGAUGUAAUCGGAUCAACUAUCCAGUUGAUGUCGCAAGAGCUUGCUCAAGCCUUGCAUUAUGAUUGAUGUGUUUAACCGCCGUCACCGAUUGUAUCUCGAGAAGCUGGUCUUUCUGCUGAUAACGUUGAACAGCAAUGUUUGAUGGAUAU